GACACGAUAAUGCCAUGAGACUGAAAAUAGUGUUGAAGCUUUCUUGAAGCCAUCAAGACUGCAUACAUGACCUUUUCCAUCUCUAUGUAAUUUCUUUUGGACGGGACCGACACUUCAGACAUAAAGUAGACAAGCAUUUGCCUUUUCACACCUUCAUCUAGGGCUGGAAAAAAAGCUCGAGGCUCGUGAGCCGGCUCGGGCUCGUUAAGGCUCGGCUCGGCUCGGAGAGGCUCGAGACUCUAAACGAGCCCGAGCCGAGCCUAAUUCCACGGCUCGCUACAGUAUCGAGCCGAGCCGAGCCGGCUUGUCAAGGCUCGCGAGCCGGCUCGAGGCUCGGCCCAAAUCUGAACAGCUGAAGGCCCAACUCUGUCGCUGACCUAGGGUAUCAAACUUACCAUUUUGUUCGGUUGUUCCUAAUUCCUAUCAUCCGUCGGCCGCUGCCCCGAUCUGCUCACCGCUCACGCGACGCGCCGAGCCGCCGACGACCGCGGCCGUGACCCGCCCGUCCCGCCGUGCGGCUGUGAUGCUGAGUCUGUGACCGUGAUUCCGUUCCCUCCAGGCAGGCUGCUGGCUGCCAAUCUGCCAUCCGCCGACCGCCGCCCAUCCCUCCAGGCUCCAGCGAUGGCAUAGGCUGUCAGGCGUCACCGCAUCAGCUACUCAGGUCAGGUUAGUGAGCUCGUCAUUCCAAUCUAAUGCUUCCUCAUCUUUGAGUAUUGAAAGAUAUUUGAUGAACAUCAAGUUGUGUUUGAAUUAGAAGAUGUUCGUAGUGAGUUAGAAAAACUUUAUGGGGAUUUUGAGGUGCAGCAUAGAGAGAGAAAAGAGUCUCAAAGCAAAUCUAAUGCUUCCUCAUCUUUGAGUAUUGAAAGAUCAUGUAGUUUGCCAUCCGCUUCAUGUCAAUUUCAGUCUUUCUUGUCAUCAACUCAGUCUAACCCAUCAAAGAGCGAGUUGCUUAUCUAUUUGGAGGAGACUAAUGUGUGUUUAUCAGACAAAGAGUUUGAUUUGCUGAAUUGGUGGAAGGUUAAUUCACAUAGAUUUCCAGUGGUGUCGAGAAUGGCAAAGAAAUUCCUAACUAUUCCGGCGACAUCUGUGUCUUCAGAGUCUACUUUUAGCACGGGAGGUAGAACUCUAGAUGAUUAUCGUAGUUCUCUAAGGCCUUCAAUGGUGGAGGCAUUGGUAUGCUCUUCUAGCUGGAUCCGAGGAACACAUGAUGGAAGCAUGAUAUAUGUGGAAGAAGAUGAUGAGGACAAUGUUGAGAACAUUAUGUUCCCAAAAAGCUUGGUGGAAAGCAACUAAAUUUGGAAGAAUUGGAUGGAGACAAGACAAGCUAAGCUAAGGAGACGUCAAGAGUCAAGACUCAAGAGAAGAUGCAUCAUACUACUGCUGCUGCUUGAGAAUAUACUGCUUUGUUGAGAACAUUAUGUUGAGAAUAUUAUGUUUUGAGAACAUUAUGUUUUGAGUUGAAUAUACUGCUACUAAUUUCCAGUGCUGAAUAUAUACUACUCUUUGUUGAAUAUAUAUACUACUCUUUCCAGUGCUGAUUUCUAAUACUCUUUGAUGAGAACAUUAUGUUUUGAGCUGAA